CCUACGUGUGGCAGCAGUGGGGAAUAUUGGACAAUGGGCGAAAGCCUGAUCCAGCCAUGCCGCGUGUGUGAAGAAGGCCUUCGGGUUGUAAAGCACUUUCAGUGGGGAAGAAAGCCUUGGGGCUAAUACCUUCGAGGAAGGACAUCACCCACAGAAGAAGCACCGGCUAACUCCGUGCCAGCAGCCGCGGUAAUACGGAGGGUGCGAGCGUUAAUCGGAAUUACUGGGCGUAAAGCGCGCGUAGGCGGUCUGAUAAGCCGGUUGUGAAAGCCCCGGGCUCAACCUGGGAACGGCAUCCGGAACUGUCAGGCUAGAGUGCAGGAGAGGAAGGUAGAAUUCCCGGUGUAGCGGUGAAAUGCGUAGAGAUCGGGAGGAAUACCAGUGGCGAAGGCGGCCUUCUGGACUGACACUGACGCUGAGGUGCGAAAGCGUGGGUAGCAAACAGGAUUAGAUACCCGAGUAGUC
rnacentral:rRNA from 1 species